rnacentral:rRNA from 1 species
GUACACUCCUGCGGGAGGCAGCAGUGGGGAAUAUUGGACAAUGGGCGCAAGCCUGAUCCAGCCAUGCCGCGUGAGUGAUGAAGGCCCUAGGGUUGUAAAGCUCUUUCACCGGUGAAGAUAAUGACGGUAACCGGAGAAGAAGCCCCGGCUAACUUCGUGCCAGCAGCCGCGGUAAUACGAAGGGGGCUAGCGUUGUUCGGAUUUACUGGGCGUAAAGCGCACGUAGGCGGACUAUUAAGUCAGGGGUGAAAUCCCGGGGCUCAACCCCGGAACUGCCUUUGAUACUGGUAGUCUUGAGUUCGAGAGAGGUGAGUGGAAUUCCGAGUGUAGAGGUGAAAUUCGUAGAUAUUCGGAGGAACACCAGUGGCGAAGGCGGCUCACUGGCUCGAUACUGACGCUGAGGUGCGAAAGCGUGGGGAGCAAACAGGAUUAGAUACCCGUGUAGUCCCAUGAU